GGAAGGGGUGGGUACCACGUUGACAUCGUGGGGGUCACUGGUUCGAGUCCAGUUGUGUCCA
rnacentral:tRNA from 1 species